CCUCGGGGUGCCCGGCGUAUUCGGGUGGCGUUUUGGGGAUGCUCCUGAAUGCGCAGGGAGCAGCACGAUUUCCACCCCUCAUCCCCUGAGCUGAGACUCCUGCACUCCCAGAGCUCCCACCUUCUCCUGCACACCCUGACCGAUCGGUACAGGGACCAAAAUGUGUCACCGGCAACAUUUUUAGAGAACUUCAAGUACUCCAGGGUUUAUCUCUUUCAGAAGCACACCAACAGGAGUUAACGGAGACCCUGCUCCCACACAGCAUCAACUUGCUUAAGCAUCACCAUCUUCUCCACCUUCAGUUGUCUCCACUAAACCUGCCCACGGACACGCACAGAGCCAGAGCAAUGGUGACAGUUUAUUUCCUUCAAAAGAGGAGCUGGUGAAGUGAAACCGUGCUGAAUCCUCAUGCAGUCCGUAACAAUUACCUGCUGUGCGUUUGACCUUGCUGAGUGAGACAGGGGUUAUGAAGCUGAACUACAGCUUGAGGUGGCCACACAGCAUCCUGUCCCAGGACAGCUGUCUUCUCUGCUAAGCCCUCUGGAGGAGACGGAAUAAGGUAAUCAACAGGAAACUUCAGUUAUUUAACACUGCUUGCCACCCCGUGUGGGUUUACUAAAGCAGCUUUUCCUCAAGAGCGACGUGAAAAAUAAAUGCACAGCAUCCUGCUAGACACACUGGACGUUUUGAUGCUCACGGGAGAUGGUAAAAAGAAGAGUGUUUUCGAAAGCAGCUUUUGGCAUCCACAAAGCAUGAGGUUUGUGCUGAGGUCUGGGACAUCCGACUGAAAUGAUUUUCAUUAGAUAACAGCACGAAGAUGGACUAAUAGGGAUUUGAUUACCCUGCCUGCCUCUGAUACUUUUGGCUACCAAAACUCCAGCACAUUCUCAGCCUGCCGUAUGUAUAGUGCCCUAUGUAUAGAGCAGGUGAACUGGCUGCCCAGUACACAUCCACAGCUCUGGUUUCAGAACCGUGGCAUACAGCUGAAAAAGCAUUAACCUUUGUUAUGAUCUCCCAUUGCCAUUAAUCACGUUUCGAGCGCCUUUGCCACCGUGUCAGAGUACCUAAAGAAAUGUUCUUGAUGAAGGCAGUCGGUUCACUUGGACUCCGGCCAGAAUAAAGCCGUGUUUGUCCUCAGAGAGAUGCUACAAAGAACUGGCCACAAUGCGGUCGCUCUCUUUUGUCUGCAGUAAACAGCCCUCCUUCAUCAGGAUAUUGCAAAAUCUCAGUGUAGUCAUCGCAUCAGUCUCAAAAAUGCAUAUUUUUCUUUCAUGUUUUAGUUUAUUAGAAGGUUAAGUUAUUUUCUUCUGAACAAUGACUCAGGAUGUAAUAACCUCCGUGUUUAUCACAGGCAUGCCAGAUCACUGGAACUCAGGCAAUCUGAAGUGAAUUGUGAGAGUUUGUGUAGGUUUCCACAAGUACAAAACUCAGAUGCUCAGUUUUUGCAAUGGUUCUGGUUUAUCUGUAUAAAUAUAUAUAUAUAUGUGUGCAUCAAGUCCGUGCUAGUAUUCCUUCCCUGGAUGCAGUGUAAGGAAGCCUGGGUCUUCACUUGUGAAGCGAUUAAUAGUUGAGGCUGCAACUGUAUUUCACUCUAAUAAUUCUUGCAGAAACUGUGCUCCUCUGGGACAAGGCAGGACACAAAGUCUGGUAUAAAAUUUGUGAGACCUGAAUAAAAUUCAGUCUCAUCAAAUCAGCUCUGGAACUGUCUUGCACAGUGGCUCAGGCAAAUCAGGAAUUUGUUUGCCUUUUAGAUAGUUCUGAAUGUUUCUUCCCUUCAAGACAACUUUUGCAGCAUAAAUGCAUUUCAGUUCGGAUUUCUCAUGAAAAGGAGGAAAGGUGUUGACGCCCAGCCAUAGCCAGGGUGGUGCCUCCUCCCAGGGCUCGUCGCACAAAGAGGCACCAUUGGGUGCAGAAGGACCACCCCAGUGUCCCUCUGUGCCGCGUGGUCUUUCUGCUGGGACCACAUCCAUUGUGCACUCUCAUGCAAGGGGUUUGACUGACCCAGAGGGCUGGAGAGGACCUCUGGGGUACCUAGGACAUAACCCCAACCUGGAGCAGUAUCCCCUACACCUGUAGGAAAGUUUUGAUGUGCUUGGCCCCUUCUAUUAAAAAUCUCCAGUGAGGGAGGUCCGAGGAUUUUGCAUGCCAUGUAUCUACUGCUUAACUGUUACUGUGAUCCUAAUAACCCAGCCGAAUCUUCCUUGCUGCAGAUGAAAUACUUGGCUCGUUAUGCUAACAAGGAUGCUGAGAACAGGUAGGUUGUUCCUGCCUCUUCACAGAAGCCCUUUGUGUAUUUGAAGACUGUGAUUAAACCUGUCAGCCUUCAUUUCUUUACACUCCCCCUCCCUCGCUCAUUCAAACUUCUCAUGUAGGCUGAGUUUUCUAGGUCCUUGAUUAUUUUCUGGACUUGUGAAAGUUGGCAGCUUCCUCCUUGAACUGCAGCACGUGAAGCUGACCAUGAUCCUUCAGCCGAGCCCUUACCAGCAAUGAAUGCAGUGGAAAGAUCACCUGAGGUGCUCUGCAAGUUGUACGGCUGUUAUAUGAAAUUUGGAAGUCUGAGCUAACAGGGCUGUGGGGACACGAUGCACUGAAAUGGAGGAGAAUUGAGCCACGCUGGUAAGGGAGGAGCGGAGCCUUCCAGUAGAUGGUUUUGCUUCUAUAAGUAUUUCAAUGCUUUUAGUGAAGGUAAAGCCUAUUAUGAUUAAAUGACCAAUGCCAAUGUUAUAGUACCCUGAAGGUGUUAUUUAG